GACGAACGCUGGCGGCGUGCUUAACACAUGCAAGUCGAGCGGAAAGGCCCUGCUUUUGUGGGGUGCUCGAGUGGCGAACGGGUGAGUAACACGUGAGUAACCUGCCCUUGACUUUGGGAUAACUUCAGGAAACUGGGGCUAAUACCGGAUAGGAGCUCCUGCUGCAUUGUGGGGGUUGGAAAGUUUCGGCGGGUGGGGAUGGACUCGCGGCUUAUCAGCUUGUUGGUGGGGUAGUGGCUUACCAAGGCUUUGACGGGUCGCCGGCCUGAGAGGGUGACCGGCCACAUUGGGACUGAGAUACGGCCCAGACUCCUACGGGAGGCAGCAGUGGGGAAUAUUGCACAAUGGGCGGAAGCCUGAUGCAGCAACGCCGCGUGCGGGAUGACGGCUUUCGGGUUGUAAACCGCUUUCGCCUGUGACGAAGCGUGAGUGACGGUAAUGGGUAAAGAAGCACCGGCUAACUACGUG
rnacentral:rRNA from 1 species